rnacentral:lncRNA from 1 species
UUCACCAUGAGCUGUGCAAAUUUGGGAAUCUGGCCAAACUCCAGGGCCACCUAUCAUGAGCAGCCUUGUUUGCUGGCAAUUUGCAGAGUUGCAAGGGGUAAAGGACUGGCUUUGACUAUUCAGUCUUUCAGGAAAACUUGAUCCAGUCGGCUAUAUUCUUGGACUGGCAAAACUGUAAUGUUGAGUGCUUCUACCAACUGAUAAUCUAUGGGAAAUCAAGACAGAGCUGCUCUGGGAUGACUAUGCACAUUGAAGGAGGAGUGGAAUUUCAUUUACAAGACAUUUUGAUGAAGUCUCAGUAGGGAAGAAAACUAACUUCUGGAGAGAGCUUACCUGUGCUAGAUAAUUGUACUUGCAUUAUUUCACUGAAUCUUUUUGGCAAAGCUUUGAGGUAGGCAUUAUAGCUCCCUUUGCACAGAUAGAAAUACCAAGGAGAGAUGUAGACAUAUGCCUAAAUUUAUUUUUAAAUAACUGGUGUGAGGCAGAGCUGGGAGUCAAACUCAGGUGUUCUCCCUCUGACCCAGAGCACUUUCUUUCUUUUCUUUUUCUUUCUUUUUUUUUUUUUUUUUUGAGACGGAGUCUCACACUAUUGCACAGGCUAGAGUGCAGUGGCGCGAUCUCGGCUCACUGCAACCUCUGCCUCCCAGGUUCAAGCAAUUCUGCCUCAGCCUCCCAUGUAGCUGGGAUUACAGGUGCGUGCCACCAUGCCUGGCUAAUUUUUUUGGUGUGUGUAUUUUUAGUAAAGACAGGGUUUCACCAUGCUGGCCAGGCUGGUCUCAAACUCCUGACCUCAGGUGAUCUUCCUGCCUCGGCCUCCCAAAGUGCUGGGAUUACAGGCGUGAGCCACCGCAUCUGGCCCAGAGCACUUUCUGCUCCACCUCUGCACCUCUUUGCCUGCUCUAUCAUUAAUAUCACUGGUUUUCUUUUGGGCUAGUUUUUAGUUCUGGCUUAUGCUGAAACUAACGGACAUGCCACCUGAUGUGGACAGAGGUAGCUUAGAGGAUGUGGUCAUGUUUUGGGAAUCCAGUAUUGAGACUGAGAUCCAGCAUUAACUGUGGCUGAGAUCUGUCUCGAACACAUGCACACAUGUACACCCAUGUGCAUUUAAGUAGAAACAAUUGAGGGCUGAUAAGCCAAUCAAACGGUUGAUCUCUUCCAGUCACUGGAAAGGCAGCAGAGAGGGCGUGGAGACAGACACAUCUGGAUGAGAAACUCCAGCUCCACCCACUUAACAGCUGUGUGAUCUUGGAUGUGCCAUUUACUCUCUUGCCUCAGUUCGUUCAUCUGUGAAAUGGAGCAAACAUCACAUCCUUGGUGGUUGUGAAGAUUAACCAUGAUCAUGUGUAUGUGGCAUGUACUGUUACCUACCUGUUAUCCCUUAAGUCACGGGUGAAGGUUUGAAAACAAUUGUGAAAGAGGGUAGUGUCAGCUGAUGUAUACAUGUCUCUGUUUAUCUUUCAUUUUUCUUACUGUUCAAGUGAAAUGCCAGAAGGUUGAGCUUCAGUCUGGUGCCCAGGAGGACAAGGGGCACAUGCUAGAAAUAGAAGACAAUGGUGCCUUGGUCCCUAUUGGUAGAUUGAAUGAUUUGUUCAAAACAUAUUCAUGGUGCCUUUCUGUAGGACCCCGGCUCCUGCCACUUCACGGGAGAGGAGAGCACUCCCAUGCCAUUCAAUCCGGCAUGGCCGUGUGUCUUGCAUUAGCCAGUGGGUUGUGAGCAGAAGUGACUAUGCCCUGCUUGAGAAGAAGUUCAGUGCCAUCCCAUGAUUUUACCUUUCCUUUGACAUGAGGCCGCAAGUCCCAGAGAGGGGCUGCUCCUUCUGCUUGGACCUCAGAAAGAAGAUAAUAGGGGCAGAACUGCAGCUGACUUGUGAAGGGCAUUUAAUGGGAGCAAAGAGACCUUUGAGAUUUGGGGUUAUUCCUUAUGGCAGCACAGCUGGGAAAGCUGACUAAUUAAUAGCAUCGCUGAUGGCAUACUGGGGCUGCCACACUAGCUGUCACUGGUUUUACCUCCAGACUUCUUACUACAUGAGAAAAAACAACUCCUACUUGGCUAAGCCACCAUUUUUGGUGACUGUGGUCAUGAUAUCCAGUAUCAUGAAAGUACCAGGCACAUUCGCACUUAAUAAAUUAAUGUUAGCUAUUAUUAGGGUAAUAUACAGACAUGUAUUUUAGAAAAUACUCAACUUAUGCAGUCUACAUUUAUGAGAUAAAUUGAUGGUGGAUUUUUAAAAUGAAAUUCGGCUUUGUUAAUAACCUAAUGAAUUCACUUAUUUUUAUUUAAAAAUUGAACAUUACAAAACGCCGUAAAGUGAAGAUUUCUACCUGCCAUUCUUUCAACACUUCUCUCCAUUGAUAACCUGUGUUAUCAAAACAUUUUUCUGUGUAAGGGCCAGAUUAAGGUGAG